AGCAACACUUGAUGUUCGAGAAAGAUCCAAUUGAUGAGGGUGAGAGUGUGGACCAUGCCAAUAAUUCAAGGAUUGCCCAAUUCCUCUUGAGGCAUCCAGAGAGAAAUUCGCCGGACCGACGAUGUUCCAGGAAGAAUAAUGUAAAGACGUCAAAGGAAAAGUGGUAAAGUGCGAGGCGCGAGGCGACAUGAGUGAUCGCGUUGGGAGUCGGUGCCCGCAACGCCGCAUUCGCCCGUCACCGAGCUCGCAGCACAAGGCUUGUCCAUGACACCCCAUGAGCACAGUUGGACUUUGACCAGAGUUCCAGCUUCAAUGGUUUCGUAGUUUCAUCUAUUUGGGGAAUUUUGUCGUAGGAUUUCACUCUCGCCCGCUGUGCUUAAAAUCCUCACGAAUUAGCUUCGUCGUGAUUUUGAAAGAAUUGACACUUCGUUCUCUGGAAUUGGUAGAUUGUAUGCUACAUAAGUUCAUUUUUUCUUAAGGAAAUCCUUCUCAAAGCCACUAGUUUAUUGGAUUAAGGUAAACUAUACGAGUACAUUAUUUUAUUUAAUAGCAAGAUUAAAAUUUAUAAUAGUUAUAAAAUCCUCCACCAAGUAAUAAUAUACAAAUUUACUUUGUUGCAUUUAUGUUCAAAAAGAAUACCUUGAUGAUUAAUAAUAUUUCUCAAAUACUAAGUAUUAUAACUAAAUAUAUUCUCAAGUCAUUGCUUUUUAUUAGAAUCUAUCUAUCAUUGUAGAUGUGGCAAGAGAGAGAGAGAGAUAAACUCAUUUUCAAAGUUAAAGCAUAUUUGCAUAUCUGCAUAUCAUGACAUGUUAACAACUUUGUUGUGCAACUUCUUACUUCAAUUGCAUAACAAAGUUGCUCUUUCAUCUACCUUUGUUACUAAACAUAACAGCAUGUAUGGACAAUGAGAUAUAUGUUCUGGGUCUUGUGAUAAAUAAUUUAAUCAACACCUCCAAGGGGACGAGAAAGCAGGGAACAUCGAGGAACGUGUCAAGCAAGGAGGCCAGGAGGCCAGGAGGGCUGGGUCUCUCACCAAGCUGGGGAGAGAGAGAAUACGACAAAUAAGGCAUUGUGUUCGUGGGGUGGUAUAUAUAUUCGUCAGCUGCCAGGCUGGAAUGUCCGAGUGUCGCUCCUGCUCUUCUUCCUGUCUCCCCCCCUCCUUUUCUCGUGUUCAGGCUUUUUGAAUUGUUCUCUUCUGUGUGGAAGAAGACGAGCUAACACGAGUAGAGUUUUUGAUCAAUCUCCUAAGGUUGUAAGCAGACAGCGUUUGUAGUCCAACGGUUAGGAUAAUUGCCUUCCAAGCAAUGGACCCGGGUUCGACUCCCGGCAAACGCACUAGCGGGGAGCUCUUUUGCUGCAGGUCGUUGUCCUAAUUCUAAUUGAUAAUGUUGGCAAGUGUCAGACUCGGUGUAGCGAGAGGCUUUCACUCCCACACUGGCAAACACAACCGCGACAUCUAUGGUCGGUGAGGCCACAGUACAUCAGACACAUUCCCUGGCCCCGCUGCUCUCGAGCGGAUGGACGGACCUGCACUGCUUCGAACCGGACACAGCGAGAGCGCAUCAGUGGUGGUGGUGGGUCACUGAUGCAAGGAGCAGUAGUCCAGAGAAGCCCCGGCUACGCUAGUCACACUGCACACACAGCACUUCUCACACUUCUUCUGUACGAGAGGGUGAGAGGCAAAAGAAUGUUUCUGUGUGUUGUGUUACCCGCACAGCCACUCACUCACCCGCGCGGUUGUACGUCUGAGCUGCUGCCUACUUUUGCACCGAAUCCCAUGCCACCAACAUAUGUCUCCAUUUCUGCACAGCGUCCUAACCAAGGCUGCCUGCACGAACGAACAUCUGCGAACUAAAAAUUCCUGCAUCAUUUCGCUGUUUCCAUGUGCAACUGCUUCAGCCUUCAGCCCUCAGCCUUCAUCCACGAAUCUAUCCACCAGCGUGGCCUUUCGCAAGCUCCCAACUUGCCUCAUUUGCUCCCAGACUCUCGUUUUCUUUUGGAAGCUGUAGUUGGCAUGAUUUUCAGUCAGUGGCUUCGCAUCCUCGCCAUGAUCACUCCUGUCAUAUUGUGUCCAAAGCCCAAAUCAUGUGGCGUGCAUAAUGCUUCUUGCAACUUUCCACCGUUCUAUAACCCUACUGCUUGUUUGCUUGAACAAGCACAACCACUCCAACCAUUGAUUGAAUUGAGCUACUUGAUAGGUUCGCUUUGCGAAAGCCAUUUUUGGGGACUUCCGGAAAAGCACGUAGACUUGGCUAACAAGUUCCAGCUGAGGUCUCAUUUCACAAUUUUAACUUCCUCCAUUUUCAUGUUAUUUUGUUUUUGUAAUUUUUUAUUUGCAAUGCUUUCUAUUCUUUCUCAGUAUGCUCGUUGUUGUUGAAUCUAACCACGUGAGUUUUUUUACGACGAAAUAAAUGCAAAAUCCAUUUCUGUAGAAAUUUUGUUUGGACAGAUUGACAUUGCAUUGAGAUGGAUCUGAAAAGAAGGUUGGAGAUCGUCCAAAUCAAAAAUGAGCGGUAUUCCAAAAAAGUCCCAUUAAGAAUCAUAUAGGAUUCUCUGCUUUUUCAAUGUGGCAAGGGAAUGCAUGUUUGGUGCCCAAAUUUUCAACAUACUGGUUGACUGUCUCACAAAGCCGGAAAUGACCUAUUUUAGGAACCUUGGUUGAAUCUUCUUGCCUCACUUGCAUUCUAGUAGGACUUGUUGCUUUCUAUGUAGAAUGUCUUGUAGGGCAUUGCAAUAGUGUGGUGGUACAGAUGGGGUCAAACCUCACAUACAACACAUAAUAUUAUAAGAUGCUUUCAAAUUUUU